AAGAAAAUGACGAAAACAAUUUUAUGUCAUUUUCCAAAGGCUAGUAUAAAUUUGGAGAACUUGAGAAACUGAUUUCUAAUUAUCCAUUUAGAAAAUUUUCCAUAACUAAACAUAUUAUUCUAGUUUUCUUGAAAUAAUUUUCUGGAAAACCAGUUUUGUUUUCCACAACUAAACAGACACUAAUCAACAGAACAUGCAAAUGAGAUUACGGGAAGACCUCUUCAUCCCCAUGCUGAG
rnacentral:misc_RNA from 1 species